CUACGGGGGGCAGCAGUGGGGAAUAUUGCACAAUGGGCGCAAGCCUGAUGCAGCCAUGCCGCGUGUAUGAAGAAGGCCUUCGGGUUGUAAAGUACUUUCAGCGGGGAGGAAGGGAGUAAAGUUAAUACCUUUGCUCAUUGACGUUACCCGCAGAAGAAGCACCGGCUAACUCCGUGCCAGCAGCCGCGGUAAUACGGAGGGUGCAAGCGUUAAUCGGAAUUACUGGGCGUAAAGCGCACGCAGGCGGUUUGUUAAGUCAGAUGUGAAAUCCCCGGGCUCAACCUGGGAACUGCAUCUGAUAAUGGCAAGCUUGAGGCUCGUAGAGGGGGGUAGAAUUCCAGGUGUAGCGGUGAAAUGCGUAGAGAUCUGGAGGAAUACCGGUGGCGAAGGCGGCCCCCUGGACGAAGACUGACGCUCAGGUGCGAAAGCGUGGGGAGCAAACAGGAUUAGAUACCCUAGUAGUC
rnacentral:rRNA from 1 species